ensembl:miRNA
CUGGGCCUGGGUCUGCUUCAAGUACUCCAGGAUCGGCUUGUAAAAGUGGGGAAAGCCUAUUCUGGAUGACUUGGUUCAGAAACAUGGCUG